AGAGCCUGGGCCUUACGGAACAGAAGGGGAAACUGAGGCCCAGAAGGGCAGCAACUUGCUCUCAGUCCCCAGGACAUGGCCCGGUUUCCCCCAUCACAACACCCAUCAUGCCAGGGUCUGUCUCCCAGGGGCCCCCAGAUUAUACUCCUGCAACUAAAUAUAUUAAGCAAUAGCCACAAGUGAACGUGCCUUGAAGACACUCAUACAAGAGUGAGGAGGCGGAUGCCAGGCGUUGGGAAGGGUAUUGUAGAUAUGGCAGUCAGCACAGGCCACUCUGACGAGGUGACAUCUGAGGAGAGACCUGAGUGACGGGAGGGAGGGAGCUUUAUGAACACUGAAGCCAGCAUGUGCCAGGCAGAGGGACCGGCAAGUGCAAAGGCCCCGAGCAGAUAAGGACAGCAAGGCUCAGAAAGGCCAGGUUUCCUGUCCCUCCCCGAUCCUCAGCCCCUCAUCACCCGUGGCUGGACUCCCUGUGUGGCCUGGGCCAAAUAUUCAGCUCUUCUGGGCCUCAGUUUCUGUGUCUGUAAAACGGGGAUCAUCAUGGAAGGAAGGAAGAGUUUAGUGAGGUCCUGAAAGCUGCUGUGCGACGCGGUCCUCGGACCUGGCCACCUGCCUCGCCCCGGCCGGGCCUGGCC
rnacentral:lncRNA from 1 species